AGUGACAGAGUGAGGGAGGGGAUGACUAGUGACAGAGUUAGGGAGGGAGGGAAGUGGUGACUAGUGACAGAGUGAGGAAGGGGGUGACUAGUGACAUAGUGAGGGAGGUGGUGACAAGUGGCAGAGGGAGAGAUGGGGUGACUAGUGACAGUCACCACCUCCCUCACUCUGUCACUAGUCACCACCUCCCUCACUCUGUCACUGUGUCACCCCCUCCCUCUGUCACUAGUCACCCCCUUCCUCACUCUGUCACUAGUCACCACUUCCCUCCCUAACUCUGUCACUAGUCACCCCCUCCCUCACUCUGUCACUAGUCACACCCUCCCUCUGUCACUGAGGG